GGAGCGGGACUGCAGCGCGGCCGCGGAGCAGGCGGGCUGCCCGCGCUCCUCGCGGAGGCGGGGGCGGAGCGGCGCGGAGCCGGGCGCGGAGCAGGGGCCGGCGCAGAGCAGAGCCGAGCCGAGCGCUCCGGUAAGACCCGCCCCCCGCCGCCGAGCCCGCUCCUUACAUCACUCGGGGCCAGGCUCACCGCACGCGGGGCGCCGCUCCGGACCGGGCUGUGGUUCCCCGGAGCCCCCCGGCCCUCCCGGGGCAGCUCGCCCCGCCCGCCGCCAUCUCCCCGCCCCGCCUGCACGGCCGGCCCCGGAGGGCUGCGUGGGAUGGAGCCCAUAGGGCCCUAUAGCAGAGUGGUCACCGCCGGUAGAGAUAUACUGAACAAAUGUUAAGGCUGCAGAGGCCCAGGUCUUACAGGAAUCAUCUUUUGACUCUUUAAGUACCUGGAGAGGUAGAGAAGAUGGGCAGUAGAAACCCCAGGCUGAUCAAGCUGCAUUGCUGCUGCAGAAGCAGAGGACAGCAGCUGAGAUGCUCACAGCAGAGCAGGGCCGCCUUCCCACCUAGAAGUCACUACAGGAUCUCCGGGUGCUUUUAUCUCACAUCCCAUCCUCCCAGCUUGUUUUGAUCAGCGUGCACAGUUCGGAGCUGUUGCCUUGUUUAUCUGCUGUGCUGGGUGCUUUCAUCUGUCUCCUGGAAAUCCAGCGGCUGCCGGCAAUGAAGGGAAGUGCAGUUUCAGUGCCUUCUGUUAACUUGUACCCAGAUCUGCUCCCCUUUUGCCUCUUUUCCCUGCCACCAGUUGGUCGGACUCAGAUGACUUUGUGAGGAGUUUGUAAUGAGUCUGAUGUGCUCAAAAGCUGAUUCUUCCCCGCCAGGGGAUUAAAUUGUGACCGUGAAUCUUUAUUAAAAUGAGCUCGGCACUUUGAA